AAGUCGUAACAAGGUUUCCGUAGGUGAACCUGCGGAAGGAUCAUUAACGAGUUGGAACGUGGAGGUUGAUGCUGGUGCAUAUAAUGUACAUGUGCUCGCCUUCGCACUCUUCAUCCACUCAACCCCUGUGCACUUUAUCAGAGUUAGUACUAGUUGUAGUGGCCAUUUUGUUAUUCAUUGUUAGAAGGGAGGGCAAAACCCUUUCAUGACAGCAGUUGUAAUAAUGAUGGUUUCUACUAUUACUAUGAACGCUUUGAACUUUACUUAUAUAAACACUUUGCUUGUUCUUAUGAAUGUGUGUAAUGCUCCUUGUGAGCAAAAUACAAAUAUAUACAACUUUCAACAACGGAUCUCUUGGCUCUC
rnacentral:misc_RNA from 1 species